GCGCCGCUGCUGCCUAAUCGCCGAGAGGCGAGCCGGGGACCCGUGUUCCAUGGGGUGAGUCCGCGAAAGCGGUAGGGGUUGUUCCGUCCCGAACCCGUCAGCUAACCCGGUAGGCGGCCCUACCGAAGGAACGU
rnacentral:sRNA from 2 species